rnacentral:rRNA from 1 species
UAGGGAAUCUUCCGCAAUGGGCGAAAGCCUGACGGAGCAACGCCGCGUGAGUGAUGAAGGUCUUCGGAUCGUAAAACUCUGUUAUUAGGGAAGAACAAAUGUGUAAGUAACUAUGCACGUCUUGACGGUACCUAAUCAGAAAGCCACGGCUAACUACGUGCCAGCAGCCGCGGUAAUACGUAGGUGGCAAGCUUUAUCCGGAAUUAUUGGGCGUAAAGCGCGCGUAGGCGGUUUUUUAAGUCUGAUGUGAAAGCCCACGGCUCAACCGUGGAGGGUCAUUGGAAACUGGAAAACUUGAGUGCAGAAGAGAAAAGUGGAAUUCCAUGUGUAGCGGUGAAAUGCGCAGAGAUAUGGAGGAACACCAGUGGCGAAGGCGACUUUCUGGUCUGUAACUGACGCUGAUGUGCGAAAGCGUGGGGAUCAAACAGG